CAUGAGAGAAGCUACACGGGCCCUGGGGAGCCUUGGGAUGGCCGCGUAGGUGCUAGAUUAUCGGUGGUUUUGUAUAUGCUGGACAAGUGCUCUACUGUCCUGUACCUGAGGUACGAUUAUUACUGCACAGAAAGGGCUUUCUGUGUGGGUGGGAGCAGCUGCUCUUCCAGCUGGUUUUGUAAGGAAACUUCUGCCUACAUUGGAUUGUAGCACUGCUCUCAGAGUCCUCUCAGCUCUGGGCUUCUGUAUAAACUGCUGUCUACCAGUACUCCCUGUAUUAUCCUCAAGAGUCACUUCAGUGCUGACCUUAGUUCUUCCUCACAACUGCAAAUCUUGGAGCUUCUGCUAUUCACAGGACCUGCUUAUUCUGGAGCAGUCACCAGCUCAGGCAGUUACAGGACAGACAAGAAAUGGGCUGAGUUGAAGCCUGGUGAUAAUGGUAGGGAGGGGAGGAAACGUUCUUUUUUUUAUGUUGUUGAACAAGUCCUCUUUACAUAGCCAUGGCUGUCCUGGAACUAACUUCUCACUGUGUAGACCAGUCUGGCCUAGAAAUCACAAGACUCUGCCUCCUGAGUGCCGUGAUUAAAGAUGUGCAUCUCCAUGCCAGCUAGAGGGAGUACGUUUAGAGGAGUAGUAUUUGUAGCCUGUGGGACCUGGAAGACCUCUGCCCUCUAGGGAGUUGGCAGGGUUUCUUUAUACAGUUACUUACCUUACCCCAUGCACUCUGGGAGCUGAUGACAUUCCCUGUCUGCUGCCCAUUUGGGUGCAACAUGGCUGCCUUAGGGAGGGGACUGGGUUCACCAUCUGCAUAGUGCAUUGGCCCUGCCAGAAAAGGACUUCCGUCUCUUCUAUCAGAAUAGAGGCUUUGUAAUAGCACUUCUUCCCAGCACCCUGAGCUUUAAUGGGAGAAUUUGUGAGA
rnacentral:lncRNA from 1 species